CACGUGUGUUGUUACUUUAGUCCGUCUUCCAAACAUGAGUACCUACUGAUAAUAUAGUGUACUGUGUACAGCAUACUGAAUUACUGAAUAUUUACGUAACUACCUAUAGAAGUGUAAAAUCAAAGUAGUUAUAUUAAAGUGAUUUGACUACUAUUCAAAUUUAAAAGUAAGAUUAUUCUUUAUAGGGAAAAUCGUAGAUUUGGUUUAUAUUGGUAUUUUAUUUGAUGAGCAUUUUAAAGACAAUUCAAUCUAAUAUUGAAGUUAAUAUAAAAUUGGCUGAACGUGGAUUUGUGUUGUACCUACAUCGAAACAAGUAAACAACACAUGGCGACGGCGAGUGUGGAGUCCACUUAAAAAAUACUUCACGUUCACGAUUUCAUAAGGUCCUUCAUAACCGGCAGUGUACCUUUACGUUCAACUCGUUCAAGUAGUACARCUAUAAAAUACAACGUACACAAUAGUAUAAUAUUAUGAUAAGAAGUACGCUCGUCAUCAUUGCAGGGUACGGUGUAGGAAUAAUACCGGAUGUCGACGGUCGUCUGCAGCUGCGAGCGUUGGUAGAGCAAUAUAUCAGGCAGCGCCGGUGGGAGGUUUUGCGGGGCCCGGGGCAGGCAGAUUUUUUUCAUGGGCCCUAAACAUUUUUUCGCAAGUCCUAUUACUUACCUAUUUGUACUUGUAUGAAAUUUUUUUAGUUUUACAUAACUUACCCAUAAAUAUUUUUUUUCGUGUACUCAAUUAAACAAUGUAUUAAA